UGAGAGCCGGGUGUCAGUUGAGGGUCAGAGGCUGGAGAGCUGCCCUAGGAGGGCAUGACAAGGUGUGUAUGGGGUGCUCAGGGAGGAUCAUAGGGUAGGCUUCCCUAUAUCUGCAAGGGAUUCAUUCCAAGACCUAGGCUGAAACCUCAGAUAUAAGCAAACACCUGUUGACCCCAUAUAAAUAUGUGCUCUCUCCUUCACUCACUGUUUCGUAUUCUAGCAUUCUCGCCACCCCUCACCCUCCAAAAAAGCCCUAAACAGAACUGAAAGCAGAAGAGACUACUGUUGGGACAGACUGGUGCCAAGGGUGAACUUCCAGCACUUUGAUAACAGAUUUCCACAGCUUCUUGUUGACUAGGAAGAACUGAAAUAAUUGAAAACAAAACCCAAGCGUGAAGCAGCCUGACUUGGGAGAGUGCUGGAGUGAUUUUCAGGAAGACCUGGGCUUAACACAACUGCUUUGACUUACUAGGCUAAAAGAUUCUGGGCAAGUCACUUAAUUUCUUUAAGCCUUAAUAAUAUCAUGUGUAAAAUAGGGAUAUAAAAAUAACUACCUUUUGGAAUUGUUGUGAAGAUCAGUCAGCAAGCACUUAUUAUGCACAUAUUUUUGUUGUUGUUCAGCCAUUUUUCAAUUGUGUUUAAAUCUUUGUGACCUCAUUUAGGAUUUUCUUGCUGGAGAUCCUAGAGGUGUUUGCCAUCCUUUUCCAAAUCAUUUUACAGAUGAGAAAGCUGACGUGAACAGAGUGAAGUGACUUGCUCAGAGUCACACAGCUAGGGUCCGGGGUCGGGACAUCUUCUAUGUGUAAUGAAAAUCAAGAGAAGAGUUCCUACUCUCAAGGAAUUUGUCAAUCUAUCAAAGGAAAAAAGUACACAUAUGUAAAAACAAUGUAAAUAUUCAUGUUCAUCAUGAACAUAAGCCAUAAUGGACAUCUGAAACAACAUGGUCACCAUAAAGAAUAUUGACUCAGCAGUUAUAGAGAAUCUUAUUAUAUCUUGCUUCUGCUCCCUCACUUGA
rnacentral:lncRNA from 1 species